UUAGCACAGGGAGGCCUGGGAAUCCCGCCACAUGCAGGCAGGACAUGAAGAGCGCAUGGACAGACGUCAGGAGGGCGCUCACUCUGCAGACUGACAGACAAAUUAAGGAGCUCUCUGCAGAUGAUAAUGAGUGUGCACUGCUUGUUCAUGUCAAGGGCGUGACAUUAGUGCUGCAGGUCAACUUUACGAACAACUUCAGGCCUGCAAGGAAGACUUGUACAGCACAUAUCAUGGGAUCCCCCUGGAGGACAAUCAGUGUAAUCCUGCAGUGGUUUAAUAUUCAGUGCAGUACCGCCAUCAUGUGGUUACAGAGGAGAACACAUCUAAAACUGACGUACUGUCUGUUGAUGGCUUCAUCUCAUCCAAACCACACCAACUCCAUCCAAACCACACCAACUGCUGAUAUUUUGAUAUAUUUUGACCCUUUUAGCAGUCCAAUAAACAUAAACGUGUAAUUCUAACAAUU